UACGGAGGAUCCAAGCGUUAUCCGGAUUUAUUGGGUUUAAAGGGUGCGUAGGCGGCUUAUUAAGUCAGGGGUGAAAGACGGUGGCUCAACCAUCGCAGUGCCCUUGAUACUGAUGAGCUUGAAUACACUUGAGGUAGGCGGAAUGUGACAAGUAGCGGUGAAAUGCAUAGAUAUGUCACAGAACACCAAUUGCGAAGGCAGCUUACUAAGGUGCAAUUGACGCUGAGGCGCGAAAGCGUGGGGAUCAAACAGG
rnacentral:rRNA from 1 species